rnacentral:rRNA from 1 species
AUGAACGCUAGCGACAGGCCUAACACAUGCAAGUCAGGGGCAGCACAAGGAGCAAUCCGAGGUGGCGACCGGCGCACGGGUGAGUAACACGUAUGCAACCUGCCUGUAAGCGGGGAAUAACCCGUUGAAAGACGGACUAAUACCGCAUAAUACUAAAUUACUGCAUGGUAAUUUAUUUAAACAUUUAUGGCUUACAGAUGGGCAUGCGCAUGAUUAGCUAGUUGGAGAGGUAACGGCUCCCCAAGGCAACGAUCAUUAGGGGUUCUGAGAGGAAGGUCCCCCACACUGGUACUGAGACACGGACCAGACUCCUACGGGAGGCAGCAGUGAGGAAUAUUGGUCAAUGGACGAGAGUCUGAACCAGCCAAGUCGCGUGCAGGAAGAAUGUCCUAUGGAUUGUAAACUGCUUUUGCAGGGGAAUAAAGUGCAUCACGUGUGAUGUUUUGUAUGUACUCUGCGAAUAAGGAUCGGCUAACUCCGUGCCAGCAGCAGC